UACGUAGGGUGCAAGCGUUGUCCGGAAUUAUUGGGCGUAAAGAGCUCGUAGGCGGUCUGUCGCGUCGGAUGUGAAAACCCGGGGCUUAAUCCCGGGCCUGCAUUCGAUACGGGCAGACUCGAGUGUGGUAGGGGAGACUGGAACUCCUGGUGUAGCGGUGAAAUGCGCAGAUAUCAGGAAGAACACCGGUGGCGAAGGCGGUUCUCUGGGCCUUACCUGACGCUGAGGAGCGAAAGCAUGGGGAGCAAACAGG
rnacentral:rRNA from 1 species